GGACUACCAGGGUUUCUAAUCCCGUUUGCUCCCCUGGCUUUCGCGCAUCAGCGUCAAUCUCGGUCCAGGAUGCCGCCUUCGCCACCGGUGUUCCUCCAGAUAUCUACGCAUUUCACCGCUACACCUGGAAUUCCGCAUCCCUCUCCCGAAUUCAAGCCAUCCAGUAUCAGACGCAGUUCCCCGGUUGAGCCGAGGGAUUUCACGUCUGACUUAGUUGGCCGCCUACGCGCCCUUUACGCCCAGUAAUUCCGAACAACGCUCGCCCCCUCUGUAUUACCGCGGCUGCUGGCAC
rnacentral:rRNA from 1 species